rnacentral:misc_RNA from 1 species
AAGUCGUAACAAGGUUUCCGUAGGUGAACCUGCGGAAGGAUCAUUAUUGAAAUAAACCUGAUGGGUUGUUGCUGGUUCUCUAGGGAGCAUGUGCACGCCUUGUCAUUUUUUAUAUCUCCACCUGUGCACCUUUUGUAGGCCUUUUAGGUCUAUGUUGCUUUUUCAUUUACCCCAAUGUAUGUUUAUAGAAUGUUGUGCAUAUAAAAUCUAUACAA